CCUCUGUUGUGUCCAGACACCUACGGGUGGCAGCAGUCGAGAAUUUUUCUCAAUGGGGGAAACCCUGAAGGAGCGACGCCGCGUGGAGGAUGAAGGCCUUCGGGUCGUAAACUCCUGUCAUUUGGGAACAAAACUUUCACUUAACUGGUGAGAGCUUGAUAGUACUAGAAGAGGAAGAGACGGCUAACUCUGUGCCAGCAGCCGCGGUAAUACAGAGGUCUCAACCGUUGUUCGGAUUCAUUGGGCGUAAAGGGUGCGUAGGCGGUCGCGUAAGUCGGAUGUGAAAUCCCGGGGCUCAACCCCGGAACUGCAUUCGAUACUGCGUGGCUAGGGUACUGGAGAGGAGACUGGAAUUUACGGUGUAGCAGUGAAAUGCGUAGAUAUCGUAAGGAAGACCAGUGGCGAAGGCGAGUCUCUGGACAGUUACCGACGCUGAGGCACGAAGGCCAGGGGAGCAAACGGGAUUAGAUACCCCGGUAGUCCUGGCAGUAAACGGUGUACGUUUGGUGUAGGCGGAUUCGACCCCGCCUGUGCCGGAGCUAACGCGUUAAACGUACCGCCUGGGAAGUACGGUCGCAAGAUUAAAACUCAAAGAAAUUGACGGGGGCCCGCACAAGCGGUGGAGUAUGUGGCUUAAUUCGAUCCACGCGAAGAACCUUACCAGGGUUUGACAUGCACUGUGUCCUCGGUGAAAGCCGGGUAGCUAUAGCAAUAUAGCGCUUUGCACAGGUGCUGCAUGGCUGUCGUCAGCUCGUGUCGUGAGAUGUUGGGUUAAGUCCCGCAACGAGCGCAACCCCUGUGUCCUGUUGCUACUGCCUUCGGGCAGGCACUCUGGACAGACUGCCCUGUGAAACGGGGAGGAAGGUGGGGAUGACGUCAAGUCAGCAUGGCCCUUACACCCUGGGCUGCACACGUACUACAAUGCUCAGUACAAUACGAGCCGAAACCGCGAGGUGGAGGAAAUCUCAAAAACUGAGCCCAAUUCGGAUCGCAGGCUGCAACUCGCCUGCGUGAAGCCGGAAUCGCUAGUAAUGGCGCAUCAGCUGCGGCGCCGUGAAUACGUUCCCGGGCCUUGUACACACCGCCCGUCACAUCAUGGGAGUCACUUGCACCCGAAGUGCGCUUUGCGCCCUACGGUAUGAGUGGUAACUGGGAUGAAGUCGUAACAAGGUAGCCGUAGGGGAACCUGCGGCUG
rnacentral:rRNA from 1 species